GGCCGCUGAAAAGUUGCCGCCAGGGACCGGCAAACGUGACGGGGUGACCGGCCGAAGCGAGAAGAAAAAACCACAACGGAGCAUUUCCAGUCACCCGGCGAAGCCCCUUUGUUUCCCCACGGCCUAGCAGGUGGGCAAGAAGCGUGACGCCCAUGAGUCAGUACGAUAAGAACCUCUGGCCUGAGGUCGCUCGUCAGGCCACGCUGCUGGAAACCAGUUUUUACCCUGGUCACUUUGUUGGGUCGCCG
rnacentral:telomerase_RNA from 1 species